rfam:Triticum aestivum genome assembly, contig: Triticum_aestivum_CS42_TGACv1_scaffold_030467_1BL
AACAUACUCCCUCCAUUUGGAAUUACUUGUCACAAAAAUGGAUGUAUCUAUAACUAAAAUACAUCUAGAUACAUUCAUUUUUUGGACGAGUAAUUCCGAAUGAAGGGAGUAGUUG